UAGGGAAUCUUCCGCAAUGGACGAAAGUCUGACGGAGCAACGCCGCGUGAGUGAAGAAGGAUUUCGGUUCGUAAAACUCUGUUGUUAGGGAAGAAAAAAUGUAUAGUAACUAUAUACAAAAGAGACGGUACCUAACCAGAAAGCCACGGCUAACUACGUGCCAGCAGCCGCGGUAAUACGUAGGUGGCAAGCGUUGUCCGGAAUUAUUGGGCGUAAAGCGCGCGCAGGUGGUUUAGAAAGUCUGAUGUGAAAGCCCACGGCUCAACCGUGGAGGGUCAUUGGAAACUAAUAAACUUGAGUGCAGGAGAGAAAAGUGGGAUUCCUAGUGUGGCGGUGAAAUGCGUAGAGAUUAGGAGGAGCACCGGUGGCGAAAGCGGCUUUUUGGCCUGCAACUGACACUGAGGCGCGAAAGCGUGGGGAGCAAACAGG
rnacentral:rRNA from 1 species